rnacentral:misc_RNA from 1 species
GAUGAAGAACGUAGCGAAAUGCGAUACUUGGUGUGAAUUGCAGAAUCCCGUGAACCAUCGAGUCUUUGAACGCAAGUUGCGCCCGAAGCCAUCAGGUUGAGGGCACGUCUGCCUGGGCGUCACAUAUCGUUGCUCGAUGCCUAUCGCAUUGCGAUAGGACUUAGGGCGAAUGAUGGCUUCCCGUGAGCGUUGUUACCUCGCGGUUGGUUGAAAAUCGAGUCCUUGGUAGGGUGUGCCAUGAUAGCUGGUGGUCGAGUUAGCACGAGACUGAUCAUGUGCAUGCUCCCCAAAAUAUGGCCUCUGUGACCCACACGCGUCUUUUGACGCUCAUGACGAGACCUCAGGUCAGGCGGGGCUACCCGCUGAAUUUAAGCAUAUCAAUAAGCGGAGGA